ACUACAAACAAACAAAUCCGAAUCUCUCCGGAGAUAAAAAGAUCAUCUUAUCUUAAUAGAGCGGUGGCGGCGGCUUAAUUACCGCUCACAACCGCUUCGAUCCGAACCGUUCUAAAUCCGAUCCGAAAAUCGGAUCGCGGCUGUAUAAAAAAUCGUCUUCCGUUCGAAAAGAUCAAAUCUCCUACGGAUCACAACGCUCGCUCCCACGAGCCUGAUCUGAUGCUCCAUCUCGAGUAAGACGCAGCGAGAAAACCGAGGUGAUGGAAAUCCGCGGUCGCCUGAAAAUUCCCGGCAAGCUACGUCUUCCUCCUCAUCCAUACCGCCGCUUCCCGCAACUCCAGGGAAGAAGACUAUGAGUUAGAGUGUUCCUUGCCCCGCCGGGUGACCGGCAUCCAGUUGCUCGAUUCCAUCCAAACAACACCCGCUCAGGAGAAGCACAUCGUUGCGGUGAGGGCAAUCCGCCUCCGUCGGGAAAUACCGGCCGAUUGCUCGUUCUUGAAUUAUCCGAACAAGUCGCUUAGUCGCUUGAUGUUUCAGGGAUUGGAUAUUUUUUUUGUCGUUUGAGCAUAUGUAGUAUUAUUCGAUGUAUUCGGUUGUAUUUGUCUAGCUGCAGUUAUAUUUGUUCGUUGCUUUUGAUAUACUGAUUUGUCGGUUUGUUCCGUUUGUUGCUUUGGCCUUAGUCUAGGAUAUAAUUUCUGCUACAAUUGUUUGUACAUAUACUUCGCAUCCUUUAUAACUUGCUGGAUGAUUUCCUUCACAGUUACAACAUUUUAUUUCUCUUUUUUUUUUUGAACAUUUACCAUGUAUUUUCCUGCGCAUUUUAUGCAUCUUGGUCCUUUAAAGCAAUAGUUUUUGGUGUGAUCGUAUGCUUGACAUUUUGUGCACUGUGGAAUUUCCCUUUUUUUAUAAGUUUGCUCAAAGCUUAUUGUAUCGAGUAAUUGGUUAAUUUUGUAAAUAUUCUUAUUAUUUUCCUUUUGCUCUAAUUUUACGAAGAACAAGAGUAAUGGCCUCUUUGUUCUAGUGUGCAGAACAUGUGCAGUAUUUGUUAUGCUUAUUAUUUUAUGAUUUUUAGCUUCUAUUUCUUCUUUGAAUUUUACCAAGUUUGUUGUUGGAUGCAUAUUUCUUAAUAUAACUUUAAAUUUUUUAUCAGUUUUGUUUUAGUAUGUGAAGCCUUGCGUACUCUUUUUUUCAAUGUAUCCAUAUGAUGAGUAUGUAUUUUUCUAUGGCGAGCGGUUAUAUCUUGACUUGGUUUUCCUUAAUAUUGUAUAUUGAUUUUUUGCAAUCUCAUCGAGUAGAAGUUUUAGAGGAAUAAUAUUUUCAACGCCUUCUAUAAAAAAUAGGAGAAGCUUUUAUUACAGUUUUUUCUGAGUUAUUAUCUUCUUUUUUCUGAAUCUGUAGAUUCAUCAUUGUUUAGUUUCUCGUAAAUGUUGCUCGUUUCGAAUGAGUUAUUUAACAAAUAAUCAUUCAUAGAUGUUUGACGUUUUCUAGUAUUAAUUUUAUCAGAGCUACUUCUCAUCUUCUUAUUUUCCACCCUGUUGCCAGUUUUGUCCUAGUUCUUGAUUUUUUUUUGUUGUUGACUAUGUUGCUGCUGCUUUAGUAUCUGCAUUUGUGGUUGCAUGUUUGAUGCGCUGAUUUAAUUGAAUAAGUAGACUGUGCAUGUUGAUUCAAAUUCGGCGUGUGCCGAAUGUAGGCAUGCCGUUGGUAAGCAUGUACACCGGAUACUACAUCUAUAUCUUGUGUGCCUACGCAGGUCUUACGGCCUUACGGCCUUACGGCAUGCAAAACAGCUGACAACAAGCUGAUGAUAUUCUAUAGAGGUUAUGCCAAACCUUGAUUUGAAGACAACAGAUUGCAAGAUGGGUCCACUCUUUAUUCGAUUAAGGCCAAAAGUUAGCUAGGCCAAGAUCUAUAAAGAAAGAGCGCCCCGUGAGGGAUGCAGAAUAGAGGCAGAAAAGCAGUUUGUCAAAGCAGAACUGUACAUACGUGACAAGAUGAAUCAAGCUGAGGACAUUGGGAAAGAUAACCAUGAGGUCCCGCUAUUAGAUUGACGUCUUGCAAAGCACCCUGUGUAUUGAGAUAAUUACAUGGAAAGUUUAAUUCCGAGGUGUUAAACAAGGUAGUAGAUUCGCAAAUACAAUAAAAAGUAUAUUUUAACUAGGCCAAAUACACUCGACAGUAAAAGUAUGAGAUCAUUCAUACUUUCCUCUUAAAAUAAAAACUUAUUUUUCUUUUUUAUAUCGAUCCUUUAGAUAAAGAUUUUACAGAUUUUUUAAUGAAAUUAUAUCUAUGCAAAAGGAGAUCCAUUAAAUCACAAAAAUUUUAAUAAAAUUUGCCAAGUUUCAUGGUAUAAAUUAAAAGUCGCACACAAAUGCUGUUUAUAACUUUCGCAACAGCGAAUCUUUAGCUUUAAUUUGAAUGUCUGUUAAUCGUUGUCCGAUUUUUUUCUUAUUGAAUUACUCAAUAUUGAAAGCAAAACAUAUCUUUUUCAUUUUAAUUGUUCACAGAAGGCAGACACAGCAGCGAUCAGUAUUUAAAAAAAAAAAAAAAAAAA
rnacentral:lncRNA from 1 species